rnacentral:misc_RNA from 1 species
GGACUUGGCCAUACCUACCUGAUCCGAGGUCACAUUUCAGAAAAAUUUGGGGUGUUUUACGGCUGUGGCCGCGCCGCGCUCCCGGUGCGAGUGUGCAAACUACUGCGCAUGAGAGGCUGCGGCGAGACCGCCACUGUAUUUCGGGGGCGGCCCGGUGAGGGGCCGAUCCCCAACGCCGACCCCCCGGAGGGGUUCGAGGGUUGAAAUGACGCUCGGACAGGCAUGCCCGCCAGAAUACUGGCGGGCGCAAUGUGCGUUCAAAGAUUCGAUGAUUCACUGAAUUCUGCAAUUCACAUUACUUAUCGCAUUUCGCUGCUUUCUUCAUCGAUGCCAGAACCAAGAGAUCCGUUGUUGAAAGUUUUGAUUCAUUUUCGAGACGCCCGCUAGGGUCGCCGAGAAAGGCUCAGAGCAAAAAUAAAACAGAGCCGCGACGGGAGCCGCGACGGAGAGAAAAAAGAGUUUGGAGUUGGUCCUCCGGCGGGCGCCAUGGCAUCCGGGGCUGCGACGCGCCCUGGGCAAGAGAAGCCGGCCGAGGCAACAGAUUGCGAACGCUCUCAUUAUCGUUAGCAGAUAGAACUCUCAU